AGCGAACGCUGGCGGCAGGCCUAACACAUGCAAGUCGAACGGAUCCUUCGGGAUUAGUGGCGGACGGGUGAGUAACACGCGGGAACGUGCCCUUUGGUUCGGAACAACUCAGGGAAACUUGAGCUAAUACCGGGUGUGCCCUUGGGGGGAAAGAUUUAUCGCCAUUGGAGCGGCCCGCGUCUGAUUAGCUAGUUGGUGAGGUAAAGGCUCACCAAGGCGACGAUCAGUAGCUGGUCUGAGAGGAUGAUCAGCCACAUUGGGGCUGAGACACGGCCCAAACUCCUACGGGAGGCAGCAGUGGGGAAUCUUGCGCAAUGGGCGAAAGCCUGACGCAGCCAUGCCGCGUGGGUGAUGAAGGCCUUAGGGUCGUAAAGCCCUUUCGCCGGGGAAGAUAAUGACGGUACCCGGUAAAGAAACCCCGGCUAACUCCGUGCCAGCAGCCGCCGUAACAC
rnacentral:rRNA from 1 species